GACGUAGGAGGCGAGCGUUAUCCGGAUUCACUGGACGUAAAGCGCAUGUAGGCGGAUGUCUAAGUCGUGUGUUAAAGCCCCUGGCUCAACUGGGGGAGGUCAUGCGAGACUGGAUGACUUGAGGGCAACAGAGGCACGUGGAACUCCCGGUGUAGCGGUGGAAUGCGUAGAGAUCGGGAAGAACACCCGUGGCGAAGGCGGCGUGCUGGGUUGCAACUGACGCUGUGGCGCGAAAGCUAGGGGAGCAAACGGG
rnacentral:rRNA from 1 species